CCUACGGGCGGCAGCAGUGAGGAAUAUUGGUCAAUGGGCGCGAGCCUGAACCAGCCAAGUCGCGUGAGGGAUGAAGGCCCUCCGGGUUGUAAACCUCUUUUGCCGGGGAGCAACGGGCGUCACGUGUGGCGCCACUGAGAGUACCCGGCGACAAAGCAUCCGCUAACUCCGUGCCAGCAGCCGCGGUAAUACGGAGGAGGCGAGCGUUAUCCGGAUUUAUUGGGUUUUAAGGGUGCGUAGGCGGAUCGUUAAGUCAGUGGUCAAAUUGAGGGGCUCAACCCCUUCCCGCCAUUGAAACUGGCGAUCUUGAGUGUAAGAGAGGUAUGCGGAAUGCGUGGUGUAGCGGUGAAAUGCAUAGAUAUCACGCAGAACCCCGAUUGCGAAGGCAGCAUGCCGGCUUCCGACUGACGCUGAGGCACGAAAGCGUGGGGAUCGAACAGGAUUAGAUACCCUUGUAGUC
rnacentral:rRNA from 1 species